AUGGCCAAACCACAUUGAAAACACACGGUUGUUGUCCGAUUACCGAAGUUAAGAAAUGUCGGGCCUGGCCAGUACUUGAGAGAGUGACCACCUGGGGGCUCUGUAGGUU